rnacentral:rRNA from 1 species
UACGGAGGAUCCAAGCGUUAUCCGGAAUCAUUGGGUUUAAAGGGUCCGUAGGCGGAUUAGUAAGUCAGUGGUGAAAGUUUGCGGCUUAACCGUAAAAUUGCCAUUGAUACUGCUAGUCUUGAAUGUUUGUGAAGUAGCUAGAAUAUGUAGUGUAGCGGUGAAAUGCUUAGAUAUUACAUGGAAUACCAAUUGCGAAGGCAGGUUACUAACAAAUUAUUGACGCUGAUGGACGAAAGCGUGGGGAGCGAAC